UGUCCACCCACCUGUGUGUCACGACCACAAACCUUUAUCCCGCUUGCAUGAUGUUCACAGUGAUGUGGUCUUUUGUUUCCGAGCUGGAUUUGUUCAAGGACUGAGUGAUAUACAACAUUCAUGAAUCCUCAAGACUGAUAUGAUCAGCAUCACGCCGACAACCUCAUUUGUUUACAACGGAACUGCAGUCUCUAGAGAGAAGACUGCCAGACGGGGAGAACAUCUUAUCUGUGUGAGUCGUAGAACACAGAAUUUAAUAUUUUUUUUCUUUUUUUUUUUUUUUGAGCAACUUCUGAGAUAAGAUGGAGUUGAUAUUGCGGUUUAUCAUGGCUCAGCUCCUUACAUUACACACUGGUUUUGACUGCAACGAUUAACACUGAGUCAUCUUGCCUUUUCAUUUAGGGUCGAUCCAACCAGUCUUUUCUCUUUUGUUUUUUACACUUUUAAUGAAAGAGUCACAUUCUCAGAGAGAGAGAGAGAGAGAGAAAAAGAUAAGGCGUUGAUUCCACUUCCACUCUCUUGUGAGUGAUACUGAAUGCUUUGGCUAUUCUUUUUGGAGCGCGUGCUCGGCGUGUUGUUUGCAGCAGACGGUCGUUCCGCUAAAUAUUCCUCCGGCAUCCUGCGAGCAUGUUGUGCUUUCUGCGCAGGCGGCAUGGGUGAAAGCGUCAGCGGUGUAGCUGUCAAGAUUGGGGCUUGAAGAUGAUCGGACGAGAUGACCCGCGUGGCGGAUGGGGCGAGAGCGCUGUUGUGACAGCCGCUGGUCCUGGAUGGUGAGGUGACUCGCGCUAAUAGACACGCGCUGGAUUCAAUGUUGGUGAACCCUGGCUGCUUGUCAAACACAACAAAAAGGGAUACCUGGGGAGCGCUCGGUUGACU